UCUUUAUCAGAGCCCCCAAAAUAAGUAGGCAUGGGCAGUGGCCAUUCACAUGCAGCACACCUUUUCCAUUUGCUAAGAAGACCCUGCCAGGCUGGGAGGGAGUCGUCCCUGCCUGACUCUGGAGAGAGGAGCCACUGUGACGAUCCCCAGGCACCAUGAAACUGCUUCAAGGGACAUUCCUUUGUCUUCUUCUGUCCAGUCUUCGUAGCGGUGUGAAAAACGCAGAAACCUCACAAACGACUCCGCUGUCAACACAGUCUUCAGUAAUCACACCAGCUAAAGGUGAAGGAUCUAUAACCAAAGGUGUCACAAAGACUGAGUUCAUCACUACAACAAUAACAGUGACAAAUUCUUCAGUUUCAAAUGCUGUUUCAACAUUACGAAAUUCCCAAUCCACGGCUGAGAGUCCGAGUUCAAUCAAAACAAUAGAAGAACCAGUUAACACUCCACGAUCAGAUGCAUCACAUUCCAGAAACUCUACAUUAUCCACGAUAUCAGUAACUUCAGAAAACAAGUCUGAAGACACCGAGAAUGCAGAAACUAUAAGCUCUUCUUCAACCAGUCCCUCUUAUUCCAGUAUUAUUUUGCCUGUGGUUAUUACUUUGAUUGUAAUAACACUUUCAGUCUUUGUUCUGGUGGGUUUGUAUCGAAUGUGCUGGAAGACAGACCCAGGCACACCAGAAAGUGGAAAUGACCAACCUCAGUCCGAUAAAGAGAGUGUGAAGCUUCUUACUGUUAAGACAAUUUCUCAUGAGUCUGGUGAGCACUCUGCACAAGGAAAAACCAAGAACUGACAGCUUGAUGAAUCCUCUCCACACCUGGGCAAUAAAUAUGAACCAUGGAUGUGUGCACAAAGUACUUCAAACAAGGUGAUCCAAAAUGCACUCUCAGCUGGUGUUUCCUUUACAGUAAGUUCCCUACGUGUGAACCUUCAAGUUGCAAACUCAAAGAUGCGAACGUGCGUUCCAUCAACACCAGGCAUGAGUGAAACUGCAGCUUGCCCUCCGUCUCCUAUUGCUGAUGAUCCUUCAGCUCUGCCACCUCCCACCUCCUCUCCCUCCUCCAGUCUGUAACUCUUCUUACCUGUUCACUUGAUGCCAGCCCCUGUAUGCCAGCUGUUGUACUGUACUACUGUACUUUUCAAGGCUUACUCUUCUGCUUCUGUGCUCCAGGGGUAGAAAGUGAGAAAGCCCUGUGGAUUCAAUCCUGACUUCCAAUACUGCCUGCCAGUGUGCACCAGUCACCUGUCCCAAUAAAGCGAUGUCCAGAUGACAUGCAAUAAUCUAAUAGAAUCAGAAACAAUCCUGGGCCUCUCCUGUCCUUUAAGAUGUGAGAAAGCACAUUACCACAUUUUAUAGGAACAUUCCUAGGAGAGUGAAUUUUAGGAGGGGCAUCUGUAAGCAGUCAACCUGACAGCCCAGGUAGGUGGCCUCACUGAUGUAAUGACUGUCCCUUGAGUUUAAAGUUUUCAGAACCAACAGUUGUUAUCCACAGAGACUUUCCUACUUUCUCAGUGUUCUUAUAUUACCUAUUGUUUGUAUUUAUUGUUUUCCACUAUGUUAAUGCAGGGAAAAUUUGCAAGUGUAUUAUUAAAUAUUGGAUCGAAAUCCUGCUAUGCCACUUUGUACAUAAAGAUAUUUUAUUCAUACCUCCAUGUGUUACUUUUAAUAAAUAAUUGCUGUGCUCAAUACACUAAAAAUAUAAUACUGCGACUAUGAAAAUGACAAUGAUAUCGUCUUCCCAUAAUUAUGAGUAUUUUGGGAUUGAUUAUUAGAAUAUGAGCGCUCAUUAAUGAAAGGCAUCUAUUAAGUGAGAAAGGGACCAAAGGAUUCCCAUACAGAUCCUGUUCAAGGGAAGUCAAUUUACCCUAUCUUUGGUCUUUCUCUUUGUAAUUGGCACUGUGUGACAGGGAUGUAAGGGCAUUUAUGACACUCCAUACUGC